rnacentral:rRNA from 1 species
AUUGAACGCUGGCGGCAUGCCUUACACAUGCAAGUCGAACGGCAGCACGGGAGCAAUCCUGGUGGCGAGUGGCGAACGGGUGAGUAAUAUAUCGGAACGUGCCCAGUCGUGGGGGAUAACGUAGCGAAAGCUACGCUAAUACCGCAUACGAUCUAUGGAUGAAAGCGGGGGAUCGCAAGACCUCGCGCGAUUGGAGCGGCCGAUAUCAGAUUAGGUAGUUGGUGGGGUAAAGGCUCACCAAGCCAACGAUCUGUAGCUGGUCUGAGAGGACGACCAGCCACACUGGAACUGAGACACGGUCCAGACUCCUACGGGAGGCAGCAGUGGGGAAUUUUGGACAAUGGGCGCAAGCCUGAUCCAGCAAUGCCGCGUGCAGGAUGAAGGCCUUCGGUUGUAACUAGCUUUGUACGGAACGAACGGUAGAGCUCUAAUACAGUUUGCUAAUGACGGUACCGUAAGAAUAAGACACCGG